AGUGAACGCUGGCGGCAGGCCUAACACAUGCAAGUCGAACGGCAGCACAGUAAGAGUUUGCUCUUAUGGGUGGCGAGUGGCGGACGGGUGAGGAAUACAUCGGAAUCUACUUUUUCGUGGGGGAUAACGUAGGGAAACUUACGCUAAUACCGCAUACGACCUACGGGUGAAAGCAGGGGAUCUUCGGACCUUGCGCGAUUGAAUGAGCCGAUGUCGGAUUAGCUAGUUGGCGGGGUAAAGACCCACCAAGGCGACGAUCCGUAGCUGGUCUGAGAGGAUGAUCAGCCGCACUGGAACUGAGACGCGGUCCAGACUCCUACGGGAGGGAGCAGUGGGGAAUAUUGGACAAUGGGCGGAAGCCUGAUCCAGCCAUACCGCGUGGGUGAAAGAGGCCUUCGGGUUGUAAAGCCCUUUUGUUGGGAAAGAAAAGCAGCAGGUUAAUACCCCGCUGUUCUGACGGUACCCAAAGAAUAAGCACCGGCUAACUUCGUG
rnacentral:rRNA from 1 species